UGGGGAAUCUUGGGCAAUGGGCGAAAGCCUGACCCAGCAACGCCGCGUGAAGGAUGAAGUAUUUCGGUAUGUAAACUUCGUAAGAAUAGGAAGAAUAAAUGACGGUACUAUUUGUAAGGUCCGGCUAACUACGUGCCAGCAGCCGCGGUAAUACGUAGGGACCAAGCGUUGUUCGGAUUUACUGGGCGUAAAGGGCGCGUAGGCGGUGUGUCAAGUCAGUUGUGAAAUCUCCGAGCUUAACUCGGAACGGUCAACUGAUACUGUCACACUAGAGUACAGAAGGGGCAAUCGGAAUUCUUGGUGUAGCGGUGAAAUGCGUAGAUAUCAAGAGGAACACCUGAGGCGAAGGCGGGUUGCUGGGCUGAUACUGACGCUGAGGCGCGAAAGCUAGGGUAGCAAACGGGAUUAGAUACCCCAGUAGUCCCUGAGCGGGCUGGCAAGGCGCAU
rnacentral:rRNA from 1 species